UACGUAGGGCGCAAGCGUUGUCCGGAAUUAUUGGGCGUAAAGAGCUCGUAGGCGGUCUGUCACGUCUGCUGUGAAAACUCGGGGCUUAACCCCGAGCCUGCAGUGGAUACGGGCAGACUAGAGGUAGGUAGGGGAGAAUGGAAUUCCCGGUGUAGCGGUGAAAUGCGCAGAUAUCGGGAGGAACACCGGUGGCGAAGGCGGUUCUCUGGGCCUUACCUGACGCUGAGGAGCGAAAGCGUGGGGAGCGAACAGGG
rnacentral:rRNA from 1 species